rnacentral:rRNA from 1 species
UUGUGAAAUUGCUGUACCUUAAUACCAGCAGCGUUGCAAAAGAUACUGUCCAGGCUUGGAACUGGUAGGAGUAAGGAGUAUUUAAGGGGGAGCGGUAAAAUGCUAUAAUCCCUUGAAGACUACCCUGUGGCGAAAGCGCCUUACUAGGACAGAUUCGACGGUGAGGGACGAAAGCCAGGGGAGCAAACCGGAUUAGAUACGAGAAAUCAUGUCUGAUUUCUGGAAUUAGCUCGUGAUUUGUUCAGAAAAUCUACUUACGAACUAAAGAAAGAAAUUGUUAAUGAUGAUUUACUCGCUAAUUACCCGAGUAGUCCUGGCUGUAAACGCUGUGAGCAAGAUGUUGCAUAUUCUUCGUGAAUAUGCAGUGUCGAAGAGAAGUCAUUAAGCUCACCACCUGGGAAGUAUGGUCGCAAGGCUGAAACUUAAAGGAAUUGGCGGGGGAGCACCACAAGGGGUGCGGCGUGCGGUUUAAUCUAAUUCAACACAGAGCAUCUCACCAGCGGCGACGGCAGGAUGAAGGUCAGUCUGAAGGGCUUACCUGACGAGCCGAGAGGUAGUGCAUGGCCGCCGUCAGCUCGUGCUGUAAGGUGUCCUGUUAAGUCAGGCAACGAGCAAGACCUGUAUCUACAAUUGCUAACUACUCUUUUAAGAGGAUUGAGCACCUUGUAGGGACUGCCUUCGAAAGAAGGAGGAAGGUGCAGGCAACGGUAGGUCUGUAUGCUCCGAAUCUGCUGGGCUACACGCGCGCAACAAUGGUAAGGACAAAAGGAUGCGACUCCGAAAGGAGGAGCUAACCCCAAAAACCUUAUCUUAGUCUAGAUUGAGGAUUGUAACUCAUCCUCAUGACACCGGAAUCCCUAGUAAUCAGAUGUUAUCAGCGUCUGGUGAAUAUGUCCCUGCUCCUUGCA